CAAUUUAUUGAAAACUGUUGAUUUCAACUCGUGUAAGAAACACAUUUUAAACAACACUAAAAAAUACCUGUAAAAUUAUAACUUUUUUACAAUCAGUUUUGAAGAACUAAUAUCAGGUACAACAAAAUUCUUUUUUUGGCUCUUCUACAAUUUAUCUCCUUAAAUUGACAUUUGGUUCUGAUAAUGUUGUCAAAAACUGUUUAAAAAACCCUAGGCACUACAGAUCACGAAACUUGUGCCAUACUUUGAAAAUUCUUCUCGGGAAAAUCAAAGAGAGUCAACCGCCAGAUGUUCAUAAACCUUUUUGGAGGACCAUCAAUGGUUUAUUAAGAAGAUCAAUCGAUGUUUUAUCAGAAAACUCAUCAACAACGAUUCGAAGCAGACGUUUGCCAGCUGUUUCAAAAAAUCUUCGAAAAGAAGAAUGCAAUAAAGAUAUUCGAACUGUUCUGAAAGUGUCCGAUAUGAAAUGUCCAGUUCCAUUCUGGUUUGCAGUCCCCGAAAUGUUUCACCAUUCAAUCAAAAAAAUUGCAGAAGGAAGUUUUGCAGAAAUUUACGAAAUCAAGAAAGCUAACGGACAAAAAAGAAUCGUUAAGAUAGUAGCAGUCGGAGAUGUGGCACCACGAAGCAAGGAAGUGCAGUUAACUUUCAAAGAAAUGACCAGUGAGAUUUGUGCAUCAUUGGAACUAUCGAAAUUGGCCAAUGGAACAGAAUAUCGUUGUCCAUCGUACCCUUACAUAUACAGG